rnacentral:tmRNA from 1 species
GGGGCUGUCCUGGUUUCGACGUGGGUUCGGAAUCGGUGUGGUGCAUGUCGAGCUUGAGUCACGCUCGUAAAUCUCGAUUUAAAAAACUAACUGCAAACGACGAACGUUUCGCACUCGCUGCUUAAUUGCCAGUGAGCCUUGCAACAGUUGGCCGAUGGGCUGGGCAAGGGGGUUCUGAGCAAUCAGCGCCUCCCGGCCGCGACAAAGGUGGCGAGACUUAAAUCAGACCGCUAAACAUGUAGAUCUGCCCGAUGAAGGCUUGCGGACGCGGGUUCAAUUCCCGCCAGCUCCACCA